rnacentral:lncRNA from 1 species
CACACUGACGACGACUAUGAGCUAGAAUCCAGCUCGUGGACUGUCAGUGAUGCAGCCAUGGCAACCCUGGACCACUGACGUCACCAAUCGGGUGGGAGGAUGCGGUCUGUGAUUGGGCUACAGCUGUCCAGAUGUGCUGGGGAGGAGAGAGUUCCCUAUCCGACCGGGACGACCAAACACACAGGCUGCUGGGAAAGAGGGACCUCUGAACAUCCUGUCCUCAAUCAAGUACACCAGGUGUGAGCUGCAGCCUCGAGCUAGCCGUAUCCCCAUCAGGAGGGCGGAGUCAACCACAGACACGCCCACUGCUGGCCUUAACCCCGCCUCCUCUGGCAGCUGGGAGGAGUCAACUACCAUGAGGGUCUGGAGACUCUUGAAACCUGGAUACCCCCUAACCCUAGGUGUGUCGGAGAAGGAGGUUCCUUCGUUGCGUGUUGUUUCCAGAGCGCUGCUGAAGAACACGGACAGGAGAUCCCUCUAUACACAUUCCACCACAGAGCCCCAAGUAACCACC